rnacentral:lncRNA from 1 species
CAGGGAAAUGCAAAUAAAAACCAUAAUCAUAUAUAACCUCACUUCUGUCAGGUUAGCUUUCAUUUACAGAAAAAAAAAAGGCAACUAAUGUUGGUGAAGAGGUGGAGAAAUUGAAAUGCUUGCACAUGGUUGGAAAGCAAAAUAGUCCAGCUGCUAUAGAAAAUAAUAUGGAGAUUCCUCAAAAAAUUAAAAACAAAACCUACUUAUGAUCCAGAUAUUCUACUUUUGUGUAUUUAUUCCAGAAAAUUUAAAUGAGCAUUCCAAGGAAAUAUUAGCACUCCUAUGUUCAUUGCAGUACUAUAUAUAACACAACAGCCAAUAUAUGGAAACAACUUAAAUGUCCAUUGACAGAUAAAUAAGUAAAGAAAAGCUGGUAUACACAUGCUAUAGAAUACUAUUCAGCCCUAAAAAAUAAGAGAAUUCUGCAAUAUGUGACAACAUGGAUGAACCUUGAGAAUACAAUAGGCUAAAUGAAAUAAUCUCAUUAUAGAAAGACAAAUACUGCAUGAUUCUACUACAUGUGGUAUCUAAAAAAAGCAAAUUUACAGAAUGAAAGAGUGGAAUAGUGAUUUUCAAGGGUUGAAAGAAGGAAAUGGGGAACUACUAAACAAUGGGUGUAAAGUUUCGGUCAAACAAGAUGAAUGAGCUCUAGGGAUCUGCUGUAAAACACUGUACCAAGGGUCAAUAAUAAUAUAUUGUAUACUUAAGAAUUGUAUUAAGUAGGUAAACCUAAUGUUAAGUGUUCUAACCACAAUAAAACACAAUUUUAACAAUGCCUCCAGCAGCACAGAGAUCUGUCUGGCCACUCUUAGCAGUCUGCUCCAGCUCUGAAAUUCACUUUACUAUGAGGACAGCUUUAUCCCACAAAGCGCAGGGUUCAGAAUUUGUCUUAAGUGUACACCUCUGUGUGUUUAUGUACAUGAUAAAAUGUGUGCUUCUUCAGAGAUCAGCUUUUGGGAAUCUACAAGAUUCAGGAUCAGUUCAGAAGUUGGAAUUAGUUGGAAAGAGCAAAAGACGAUCUUUGGCAGAUAACACUUGAGCACAAUACUGCCAAGCAUCGAAGAACUGAUAACUACACUUGAUGGACAGCUUUUGCUCAGGUCACUGUGCAGAAGAAGCAAAGUGUAUAAAUUCACUGGUUAGGAUUCUCACCGAAGAGCUACCUGUUGAUAGCCAAUAAAACAGAGAACAAAACAGAAAACAUGGCUUGACAAGAGUGCCAAGAAUACACAACGGGGAAAUGACAGUCUCUGAUUUUUCCUUUACAUCAGAACAUGUGUUCACCUAGAGAUGCCUAGGAAAAUAGCCAACUAAUCCCAGAUGUAGAAAUUCAGAUUGUGGCAGCCAACAACAGCAAGCAACUGAUGUUUUUAUCAAUAUUUUAACUUUGUUGUCAUUGCCUUCUCUCUUUCAAUAACUUAAGAAUUAUUCUCUGGAUAACGUCUUUAUUUUCCAUUUUUUAAAUUAUAAUUUAAGUUCUGGGGUACAUGUACAGAUCGUGCAGA